AGAAGUGUAGCACAGUGGUAAGGUGCAGGGCUUGCAACCAAAAGGUUGCUGGUUCGAUUCCCUGCUGGGUCACUGCUG
rnacentral:tRNA from 1 species